AGCAGCCGCGGUAAUUCCAGCUCCAAUAGCGUAUAUUAAAGUUGCUGCAGUUAAGAAGCUCGUAGUUGAAUUUCGGGACCAUCAUGUUGGUCGUGCCUCGGUACGUACUGGCAUUGUUGGUUUCUCCCUUCUGACGAACCAUGAUGUCAUUUAUUUGGUGUCGUGGGAAAUCAGGACUGUUACUUUGAAAAAAUUAGAGUGUUUAAAGCAGGCUCACGCUUGAAUACAUUAGCAUGGAAUAAUGAAAUAGGACGUUUGAUUCUAUUUUGUUGGUUUCUAGGAUCGACGUAAUGAUUAAUAGGGAUAGUUGGGGGCAUUAGUAUUCAAUUGUCAGAGGUGAAAUUCCUGGAUUUAUUGAAGACUAACUACUGCGAAAGCAUUUGCCAAGGAUGUUUUCAUUAAUCAAGAACGAAAGUUAGGGGAUCGAAGACGAUCAGAUACCGUCGUAGUCUUAACCAUAAACUAUGCCGACUAGGGAUCGGAUGAUGUUAAUUUUUUAAUGACUCAUUCGGCGCCUUAC
rnacentral:misc_RNA from 1 species